GAUAAGAACGUAGCGAAAUGCGAUAAGUAAUGUGAAUUGCAGAAUUCAGUGAAUCAUCGAAUCUUUGAACGCACAUUGCGCCCUCUGGUAUUCCGGGGGGCAUGCCUGUUCGAGCGUCAUUAUAACCACUCAAGCUCUCGCUUGGUAUUGGGGUUCGCGGUUCCGCGGCCCCUAAAAUCAGUGGCGGUGCCUGUCGGCUCUACGCGUAGUAAUACUCCUCGCGAUUGAGUCCGGUAGGUCUACUUGCCAGCAACCCCCAAUUUUUACAGGUUGACCUCGGAUCAGGUAGGGAUACCCGCUGAACUUAAGCAUAUCAAUAAGCGGAGGA
rnacentral:misc_RNA from 1 species